UACUACAGAAUAACAAUCUCCAGCCAGCAUGCUGAGAGGGCUGGAACCUCAGUGUUCCAAUUGAUGAAAAAUUAAAGGAGUGUGCUGUACUGCUCUCAAUAUAUACUAUGCUGUGUUUCUCUGUAUUUUACUACUCUUACUAUGUGUUGCGAUAUACUUCCUGUACUUUUAUAAUACUCUGAUUUUUUCCCCGUGUAUAUAGUUUUCUUUCUUUUCGAGAUAUCUUCUAACUGUUGAACCAGGAAGGAAUGACUGAGAACGUUGAAGUGCUGGUGGCGUAACACGUGGUGGAUGAGGGAUUGGACAAGAAAGAGCAGAAGGGCCACCUGGUGAACGUGAUGGACCUGGUUGGGAAUACGGAUGUUUCUUGUGCAAUGUUUGUUUUAAAAGUUUCAAACAUAAGCAAGCUUUAAACAGGAAUAAGAAAUCUUGUGGAGAAGUCGAAGAUAUGUACGUUUGUUCCAUCCUUAACUGUGGAAAAUGUUUUGGAAGAAGAGAUUCUCUAAAACGGCACAUAAUCACAAAUCACAAAGAGGGAGGAGAGGGAGGAACGAAGUUCUCUAAAUACACAGAGUUCGUAUGUCUUGAGUGCAACAAAGUAUUCAAAUGUAAAUAAGCUUAAACUUUCAAAAAAAAAAAAACAAUAAAAACAAAAGUGUUUUUAAUGGAUAAAAUCUCAUAAGUAGUAACUCUUACUACUUAUAUUUGAAUGGGUCAAAUCAUUAAAAUGACAAUAUUUGCUUUUUUAAGUGUUUGAAAUAAGAAAUAAAAAUACU